UGGGGAAUAUUGGACAAUGGGCGAAAGCCUGAUCCAGCCAUGCCGCGUGUGUGAAGAAGGCCUUUUGGUUGUAAAGCACUUUAAGCGAGGAGGAGGCUACCUAGAUUAAUACUCUAGGAUAGUGGACGUUACUCGCAGAAUAAGCACCGGCUAACUCUGUGCCAGCAGCCGCGGUAAUACAGAGGGUGCGAGCGUUAAUCGGAUUUACUGGGCGUAAAGCGUGCGUAGGCGGCUGAUUAAGUCGGAUGUGAAAUCCCUGAGCUUAACUUAGGAAUUGCAUUCGAUACUGGUCAGCUAGAGUAUGGGAGAGGAUGGUAGAAUUCCAGGUGUAGCGGUGAAAUGCGUAGAGAUCUGGAGGAAUACCGAUGGCGAAGGCAGCCAUCUGGCCUAAUACUGACGCUGAGGUACGAAAGCAUGGGGAGCAAACAGG
rnacentral:rRNA from 1 species